UACGAAGGGGGCUAGCGUUGUUCGGAAUUACUGGGCGUAAAGCGCGCGUAGGCGGCGACCUUUGUCAGAGGUGAAAUCCCGAGGCUCAACUUCGGAAUUGCCUUUGAAACGGGGUUGCUUGAGUCCGAGAGAGGAUGGCGGAAUUCCUAGUGUAGAGGUGAAAUUCGUAGAUAUUAGGAAGAACACCGGUGGCGAAGGCGGCCAUCUGGCUCGGUACUGACGUUCAGGCACGAAAGCGUGGGGAGCAAACAGG
rnacentral:rRNA from 1 species